rnacentral:lncRNA from 1 species
GGACUUUUGGUUCCAAGUUCACUGGUGAAAUCACUGGAUCAAAGUUCUGAUGUUAAUCAGACAUGUCACCAUCACCCUUAUGAGUGCUUGUGAAAAAUACAGUGCCAUCUCCCACUGCAACUUCCAUGGUAUCAGCCAUGGGAAAUUAUCACUUAGUAUAUUGAUCACUCCAUCUCACAGGGUCCACAGAGACCCAACUGAUACCUGCUCAAAGGGAAAUCUGAUAUCUGCUGUCCUGUCGUCACUGAGAUGCAGCAACUCGGACUCUAAGUGAGAAGGGGCUUCCCAACAUUGGCCUUAGUCCUCAUCGGACCAUGUUCUUGCCUGAUGAGCCAGGCUGGAGGAAGGCUCCAAGUGCUGGGUUUUCUCCUUGGGACUUUGUCCUGGGGAUCCUGGGGUAGGGGCUGGACUUGGGGAUCCCGUAGCCUCCCCUAACUGGAAAAAUAGCCGAGAACCCAGGGCAGGAACUGGGCAGAGAAAGAUGGGGGGCCCAGGUGGCUGAGGAGGGGAUGGCCUGAUAAUGUAACUGUCCUGGACAGUGCUCCCAGGAUUUCACAAGGAACAAAGCCCUGGCUUUGGGGCAUCUGGCUUUCUCAGCGAAGCCUGACAUCACCAACGACUGGGAAACAGUGACAUCUGCCGGCUGCCUGAGGCCAGAGCCCUCCUCCUUGGUUGGAGAACCACAGGGCGUUAGACCAUCUUAGAAUCCUGGAACAAAGAGGAUUUGGCCUUUGAUUCAGCUGUCUGGGAGGAGCCCAGGAUUCUGCAUUUCUAACAAGCCGCUAAUACCACUGGGUAUGGGGUCGGCAGUGCACCUUGUUUAGAAAGCUUUAUUUAUAUCAAUUAUAUCUCAGUAAAAUUGAAGGAGUUCCUGUCGUGGCGCAGUGGUUAACAAAUCCAACUAGGAACCAUGAGGUUGUGGGUUCGAUCCCUGGCCUUGCUCAGGGGGUCAAGGAUCCUGCGUUGCCGUGAGCUGUGGUGUAGGUUGAAGACGCGGCUCGGAUACCUCGUUGCUGUGGCUCUGCCGUAAGCCAGUGGCUACAGCUCUGAUUAGACCCCUAGCCUGGGAAUCUCCAUAUGCUGCAGGAGCAGUCCUAGAAAAGGCAANAAAAAAAAAAAAAAAAAAAAAAAAAAAAAAGGAGGAAAAAAUGUUUUAGGGGGCUCAGAGAUGAAUCAGAUCUGGUCCCAGACAUCCCAAGUGUCUUAGGGGUGCUUUUCCACAUAUAAAAUCUGUUGAUCACAAGGCAAGACCAGUAGGGAACAUUUCUUGGAGA